UUAACUAUUAUAUAGUACUCAGACAUCACUAAAAAUUCAGAGUUUGAUCCUCUGGCAGGCACAUGCAGGCAGAGCCCACAGUGGAGGCCACGGCCUGCCAAAGCAACAAGGGUAAAUAAACACGGGUAGGGACUUAGGUGUUCUCGCUCUUAUUAGGAGUACGAGAAGGGACCUUAGACCUUUUUAAUGAUCCUUCCGCAGGUUCACCUACGGAAA
rnacentral:misc_RNA from 1 species